CAGUAGCCGCGGUAAUACGUAGGUGGCAAGCGUUGUCCGGAAUUAUUGGGCGUAAAGCGUCUGUAGGUGGCUUUUCAAGUCCGCCGUCAAAUCCCAGGGCUCAACCCUGGACAGGCGGUGGAAACUACCAAGCUGGAGUACGGUAGGGGCAGAGGGAAUUUCCGGUGGAGCGGUGAAAUGUGUUGAGAUCGGAAAGAACACCAACGACGAAAGCACUCUGCUGGGCCGACACUGACACUGAGAGACGAAAGCUAGGGGAGCAAAUGGGAUUAGAUACCCCUGUAGUCCCUGUCUCUUAUAC
rnacentral:rRNA from 1 species